rnacentral:rRNA from 1 species
CCUACGGGAGGCAGCAGUGGGGAAUAUUGGACAAUGGGGGGAACCCUGAUCCAGCCAUGCCGCGUGUGUGAAGAAGGCCUUAUGGUUGUAAAGCACUUUAAGCGAGGAGGAGGCUACUUUAGUUAAUACCUAGAGAUAGUGGACGUUACUCGCAGAAUAAGCACCGGCUAACUCUGUGCC